GAUGAACGCUGGCGGCGUGCUUAACACAUGCAAGUCGAACGAUGAAGCCCAGCUUGCUGGGUGGAUUAGUGGCGAACGGGUGAGUAACACGUGAGUAACCUGCCCUUAACUCUUGGAUAAGCCUGGGGAACUGGGUCUAAUACCGGAUAGGAGCGUCCACCGCAUGGUGGGUGUUGGAAAGAUUUAUCGGUUUUGGAUGGACUCGCGGCCUAUCAGCUUGUUGGUGAGGUAAUGGCUCAACAAGGCGACGACGGGUAGCCGGCCUGAGAGGGUGACCGGCCACACUGGGACUGAGACACGGCCCAGACUCCUACGGGAGGCAGCAGUGGGGAAUAUUGCACAAUGGGCGCAAGCCUGAUGCAGCGACGCCGCGUGAGGGAUGACGGCCUUCGGGUUGUAAACCUCUUUCAGUAGGGAAGAAGCGAAAGUGACGGUACCUGCAGAAGAAGCACCGGCUAACUACGUG
rnacentral:rRNA from 1 species